rnacentral:rRNA from 1 species
GAACGACUCUCGGCAACGGAUAUCUCGGCUCUCGCAUCGAUGAAGAACGUAGCGAAAUGCGAUACGUGGUGUGAAUUGCAGAAUCCCGUGAACCAUCGAGUUUUUGAACGCAAGUUGCGCCCGAAGCCUUCAGGUUGAGGGCACGUCUGCCUGGGUGUCACACA